UGGGGAAUUUUGGACAAUGGGGGAAACCCUGAUCCAGCCAUCCCGCGUGUGCGAUGAAGGCCUUCGGGUUGUAAAGCACUUUUGGCAGGAAAGAAACGUCAUGGGUUAAUACCCCGUGAAACUGACGGUACCUGCAGAAUAAGCACCGGCUAACUACGUGCCAGCAGCCGCGGUAAUACGUAGGGUGCAAGCGUUAAUCGGAAUUACUGGGCGUAAAGCGUGCGCAGGCGGUUCGGAAAGGAAGAUGUGAAAUCCCAGGGCUCAACUUUGGAACGGCAUUUUUAACUACCGGGCUAGAGUGUGGCAGAGGGAGGUGGAAUUCCGCGUGUAGCAGUGAAAUGCGUAGAUAUGCGGAGGAACACCGGUGGCGAAGGCAGCCGCCUGGGAUAACACUGACGCUCAUGCACGAAAGCGUGGGGAGCAAACAGG
rnacentral:rRNA from 1 species